rnacentral:rRNA from 1 species
CGGGACGGGUGAGUAAUGUCUGGGAAACUGCCUGAUGGAGGGGGAUAACUGCUGGAAACGGUAGCUAAUACCGCAUAACGUCGCAAAACCAAAGAGGGGGACCUUCGGGCCUCUUGCCAUCGGAUGUGCCCAGAUGGGAUUAGCUAGUAGGUGGGGUAACGGCUCACCUAGGCGACGAUCCCUAGCUGGUCUGAGAGGAUGGCCAGCCACACUGGAACUGAGACACGGUCCAG